CAUGGUUGCCGGACUAAAAGUCAUGAUAAGAUUCAUCAAUCAGAUACCAGGUGAGUCUGGACCAGGCCUGGUAGAUGCAUACUCGAACUGCUCCAG